rnacentral:rRNA from 1 species
AAGCUCGUAGUUGAAUUUCGAAUGUGGCUGGGCGGUCCGCCUCACGGUGUGUACUGUCUGGCUGUGUUCUCUUUCUUGGUGAGCCGGCAUGCCCUUUACUGGGUGUGUUGGGGAACCAGGACGUUUACCUUGAGAAAAUUAGAGUGUUCAAAGCAGGCCUACGCCCGAAUACAUUAGCAUGGCAUAAUAAAAUAGGACGUGCGGUUCUAUUUUGUUGGUUCUACGUAGCCGCCGACGUAAAGUUAAGUAGUUAAAUUUAAAGGGUAAGGUUAAGUUUAGGGGUUCGGUCGUAGGACGGGGCCGGU